rnacentral:rRNA from 1 species
CAGUCGAGGGGUAUAGUUCUUCGGAACUAGAGACCGGCGCACGGGUGCGUAACGCGUAUGCAAUCUACCUUUCACAAAGGGAUAGCCCAGAGAAAUUUGGAUUAAUACCUUAUAGUAUAUAUGAAUGGCAUCAUUUAUAUAUUAAAGAUUUAUCGGUGAAAGAUGAGCAUGCGUCCCAUUAGCUAGUUGGUAAGGUAACGGCUUACCAAGGCAACGAUGGGUAGGGGUCCUGAGAGGGAGAUCCCCCACACUGGUACUGAGACACGGACCAGACUCCUACGGGAGGCAGCAGUGAGGAAUAUUGGACAAUGGGCGCAAGCCUGAUCCAGCCAUGCCGCGUGCAGGAUGACGGUCCUAUGGAUUGUAAACUGCUUUUAUACGAGAAGAAACACUCCGACGUGUCGGAGCUUGACGGUAUCGUAAGAAUAAGGAUCGGCUAACUCCGUGCCAGCAGCCGCGGUAAUACGGAGGAUCCAAGCGGUAUCCGGAAUCAUUGGGUUUAAAGGGUCCGUAGGCGGUCAGAUAAGUCAGUGGUGAAAGCCCAUCGCUCAACGGUGGAACGGCCAUUGAUACUGUCUGACUUGAAUUAUUAGGAAGUAACUAGAAUAUGUAGUGUAGCGGUGAAAUGCUUAGAGAUUACAUGGAAUACCAAUUGCGAAGGCAGGUUACUACUAAUAUAUUGACGCUGAUGGACGAAAGCGUGGGUAGC